AUGCAAAACUUACAUGUGUGACAUCCGACACAUCGUGUCUGUGCAAAAGGUGCCUAGUUAAAACCAGAAACCAGUUUGAAAAUUUGAAUUAAAUGCACACUCCACAAAAAAAUAACUGGUGAAAGGAGGAAAAAUCCUUACGUGUAGAUACAAACGUUUCUUGACAGAUGUAAAUGAAAACUAAUAUGGUGACAUUUUUCAAAUUAGCCAUUGGAAAACAUUACGUGCCUGCUUCUUUUGGGUUUGUGGGGGGCGUUUUGGUUUUGUUUUUUUUUUUUUUUAAACUGCCUAAGCAUUUUUCAGUUAUGUUGGCCUCAGAAAGUAUUUAUGAAAAGAAUAAUAAAUAAUUAAUUCAACUGGCUAGGAGCUGGAACUCCUCUCUGCCUCGACAAUAUACAUUGAAAUGCUGUUUAAAUUAUAAGAGCAAAUUGAUUCAAAAGGCUUCCAUUAGUGAGCUGGCAAACAGGUCUGAAGCCGGCUAAUAAAUUUUAGAUAAAGACAGUGCCUUUGAUGAGGAUGGCAACGCCGGAGUGCUGUUCUCGAGCCACCAGUGUGUUAAACAAGUGGCUAAAGUCUCGCCUCCUCCCCGUCUCAUAAGUCACUGCAUUAACCAUCAGCAGAGUCGGUCUCGGCGCCUGCCGUGAGCCUGGCAACUGCUUACAGAGCUGGGAGGCGACGGGCGAUCCGGGUUUCCAAUUUCAUGUCCCUUCCCACCACGCUAGUUUUUGGGUUUUUUUUUUGGUUGUUCCCCCCGCCUUUCCAUUUUUGGCCACCCCAUGGCACAUGGAGCUCCCAAGCAGGGAUCAGAUCUGAGCUGCAAUCUCGACCUAAGCUGCAGCUGCUGGGUCCUUAACUCACUGUGCCGGGCCAGGGGUUAAACCUGAGUCCCAGGAUGCCCCCAGUCCUGCUGCACCACAGUGGGAGCUCCCCACCACUCUGUUCUAACAGGUUUCACGGUAUAUUCAUCAAGGAGAAUUAGGCCCACCUGUGACAUAAAAAGUUCCACCUAUGCUGUGCCUUGCAGCCUAUCUAUGAGGAAAAAUUCUUAAUAAAAAUCAAGAAAUUAUGUGUAAAGGCCUUUGUUCCAUUCAGACAUGUAUCCUAUAAGCAGGUGGCAACGUGCCACUCAAGAUCACGGAAUAUUACACAGCUACUGAAAAGAGCAGGGGCAUUUACCAGCCUGGAAGGGAGACACCCACCAUCUUUGCCUUAGGGAGGCUGGAGCCGGCACCCACUUACUUUAGAAAAAGUCAACAAAGCCUCACUCGUGUGUGUUACACUCAUUACUGUCAGGGAAAAUGUGCAAGAAGUCGCCCCUGUGGCGCAUCUGUAUCGGCAGCAUCUGAGCAGCACCUGGACGCAGGUUCAAUCCCCAGCCCAAAACUCUGGGUGAAAGGAUCCGGUGUUGCCACAGCUGCAGCUCGGCCCUGAUCCCUGGCAGGGAUCUCCAUGUGCUGCAGGGCAGCCAAACAAGAAAAGAACAAAAAAAAAAAGAUGUGUAAGAACAUACAAACUAUUAAUCAAGGUUACCUGGGGCAGGAGGUGGUGGUGAAGGGGGAAUAAGGAGCAAAAGAGGAGAGUUUAGUG
rnacentral:lncRNA from 1 species